rnacentral:rRNA from 1 species
UACGAAGGGUGCAAGCGUUACUCGGAAUUACUGGGCGUAAAGCGUGCGUAAGUGGUUUGUUAAGUCUGAUGUGAAAGCCCUGGGCUCAACCUGGGAAUUGCAUUGGAUACUGGCAGGCUAGAGUGCGGUAGAGGGUAGUGGAAUUCCCGGUGUAGCAGUGAAAUGCGUAGAGAUCGGGAGGAACAUCCGUGGCGAAGGCGACUACCUGGACCAGCACUGACACUGAGGCACGAAAGCGUGGGGAGCAAACAGG